rnacentral:rRNA from 1 species
CCUACGGGAGGCAGCAGUCGAGAAUAAUUCACAAUGGGGGCAACCCUGAUGGUGCAACGCCGCGUGGAGGAUGACGGUCUUCGGAUUGUAAACUCCUGUCAUCUGGGAGUAAGACCUGGCUGUUAAUAGCAGACAGGGUUGAUAGUACCAGAAGAGGAAGGGACGGCUAACUUCGUGCCAGCAGCCGCGGUAAUACGAAGGUCCCGAGCGUUGUUCGGAAUCACUGGGCGUAAAGGGAGCGUAGGCGGCGCGGUAUGUCAGAUGUGAAAUCCCGGGGCUCAACCCCGGAACUGCAUCCGAUACUGCCGUGCUAGAGGAUUGGAGAGGUAGCUGGAAUUCUUGGUGUAGCAGUGAAAUGCGUAGAUAUCAAGAGGAACACUCGUGGCGAAAGCGAGCUACUGGACAACUCCUGACGCUGAGGCUCGAAGGCUAGGGUAGCGAAAGGGAUUAGAUACCCCUGUAGUCCUAGCAGUAAACGGUGCACGCUUGGUGUGAGGGGAAUCGACCCCCCUCGUGCCGGAGCUAACGCGUUAAGCGUGCCGCCUGGGAAGUACGGUCGCAAGACUAAAACUCAAAGAAAUUGACGGGGACCCGCACAAGCGGUGGAGUAUGUGGCUUAAUUCGAUGCAACGCGAAGAACCUUACCAAGGCUUGACAUGGAUUUCUAAGCACGUGAAAGCGUGUGACCCUUCGGGGAACUUCCACAGGUGCUGCAUGGCCGUCGUCAGCUCGUGUCGUGAGAUGUUGGGUUAAGUCCCGCAACGAGCGCAACCCUUGUGAUUAGUUGCCAGCACGUUAUGGUGGGAACUCUAAUCAGACUGCCCAGAUCAACUGGGAGGAAGGUGGGGACGACGUCAGGUCAGUAUGGCCCUUACGCCUUGGGCUGCACACGUACUACAAUGCCCAGCACAAUGAGAACCGAUACCGCGAGGUGGAGGAAAUCUAUAAGACUGGGCCCAGUUCGGAUUGGAGGCUGCAACUCGCCUCCAUGAAGUUGGAAUCGCUAGUAAUGGCACAUCAUCUACGGUGCCGUGAAUACGUUCCCGGGCCUUGUACACACCCGCC